GAGCAAAGGUGAGAUUCCACCUGGGGAGCGGCCUGCUUCGUAUUAGCUAGUUGGUGAGGUAACGGCUCACCAAGGCGACGAUGCGUAGGGGGUGUGAGAGCAUGACCCCCACCACUGGGACUGAGAUACUGCCCAGACACCUACGGGUGGCUGCAGUCGAGAAUCUUCGGCAAUGGGCGCAAGCCUGACCGAGCGACGCCGCGUGUGGGAUGAAGGCCCUUGGGUUGUAAACCACUGUCAGAGGGGAUGAAAUGCACGAGAGUUAUCUCUUGUGUUUGACAUAGCCUCAGAGGAAGCACGGGCUAAGUUCGUGCCAGCAGCCGCGGUAAUACGAACUGUGCGAACGUUAUUCGGAAUCACUGGGCUUACAGGGUGCGUAGGCGGCUUGUCAAGUAGGGUGUGAAAGCCCCCGGCUCAACCGGGGAAUGGCGCCCUAAACUGGCGAGCUAGAGUGAGAUAGGGGUGUGUGGAACUUCCGGUGGAGCGGUGAAAUGUGUUGAUAUCGGAAGGAACGCCGGUGGCGAAAGCGACACACUGGAUCUUGUCUGACGCUGAGGCACGAAAGCCAGGGGAGCGAACGGGAUUAGAUACCCCGGUAGUCCUGGCUGUAAACGAUGAGCACUAGCUAGGAGGAGCGUAUGCCCUUCCUAACGGAGCGAAAGUGUUAAGUGCUCCGCCUGGGGGAGUAUGGUCGCAAGGCUG
rnacentral:rRNA from 1 species